rnacentral:rRNA from 1 species
UAAGGAAUAUUGCUCAAUGGGCGAAAUCCUGAAGCAGCAACGCCGCGUGGAGGAUGAAGGGCUUUCAGCUUGUAAACUCCUGUAAAGAAGAAAAAAAUUCCCAUUAGAUGGGAAAUGAUGGUACUUCUAAAGUAACCCCCGGCUAACUACGUGCCAGCAGCCGCGGUAAUACGCAGGGGGCAAGCGUUGUCCGGAUUUACUGGGUGUAAAGGGUGCUCAGGCGGAUUUGUAAGUCAGAGGUGAAAUCUCACAGCUUAACUGUGAAACUGCCUUUAAUACUGCAAGUCUAGAGUAUGGAAGAGAGUGAUGGAAUGUCUGGUGUAGCAGUGAAAUGCGUAGAUAUCAGAUAGAACACCAAUGGCGAAGGCAGUCACUUGGUCCAUUACUGACGCUAAAGCACGAAAGCGUGGGUAGCAAACA